ensembl:lncRNA
CGACGGCGUGGAGUCUGUGCCCUGUUCCUCCCACACACGAGUGUUCGUUCAUGUUCGGCCUUGUGUCUGAGCAUUUCCUCUCGGUGUGUCUGUAACGAGGAAGCCACGGGCAGGUCGCACACAAACGUGUGGCUGCCGAGUGUGCGAGUGUGGCAACGUGUGGCAACUAUUCUGGUUUGCCAGCGACGUUUCCACAUAAACACUGGUGGCAGCUGCUGCCAUGGCAACACCAUUGUGCUCCCUCCCUCCCUCGCUCGUCUCCCCUCCCUCUCCCCAACCACUCCUCGCUCUCAUGCUCCGCCGGCUCAGAGAGCGAGGACCAGAGAGGAGAGAGGUCAGCUCGAUUCAGAGGACAGAAAGAAGAAAGGAAUAACCCGGAGUGGACGGGGACAGGAUGAGCGAGGACAGCCACUCCCACUACAGGCUGGACCCCAGCGAUCGCCUCAACGGGCUGGGACAGAGGAGGAAGAGACCCAAGAAGUCUGAAGCAGGCAGCAGUGCUGAACCUACCAGUGUAAAUGUGAUGGUGGAAGCAGAGGCCAGCACUUGGCAGUGCUAAACACAAUAAAAGACUCACAAGUUCCUGCUCAAAGUAACGCUUGUUCAUCUGUUGC